UACGGGGGGGGGUAAGCGUUGUUCGGAAUUACUGGCGUAAAGGGCUCGUAGGCGGCCAACUAAGUCAUACGUGAAAUCCCUCAGCUUAACUGGGGAACUGCGUGUGAUACUGGAUGGCUUGGAUUUGGGAGAGGGAUGCGGAAUUCCAGGUGUAGCGGUGGAAUGCGCAGAUAUCAGGAGGAACACCGGUGGCGAAGGCGGAUCUCUGGGCCUUACCUGACGCUGAGGCGCGAAAGCUAGGGGAGCGAACAGG
rnacentral:rRNA from 1 species